UACGAAGGGGGCUAGCGUUGCUCGGAAUUACUGGGCGUAAAGGGCGCGUAGGCGGAUACUUAAGUCGGGGGUGAAAGCCCAGGGCUCAACCCUGGAAUAGCCUUCGAUACUGGGUAUCUUGAGUUCGGGAGAGGUGAGUGGAACUCCGAGUGUAGAGGUGAAAUUCGUAGAUAUUCGGAAGAACACCAGUGGCGAAGGCGACUCACUGGCCCGAUACUGACGCUGAGGCACGAAAGCGUGGGGAGCAAACAGG
rnacentral:rRNA from 1 species